UAUAUCUAAGUAUAUGAAGUACGGGGGUUUUUGAUACUCCAAGAAUCAGUUUAAAUCUGUUAGUUAUAA
rnacentral:tRNA from 1 species